AUACGAAGGGGGCUAGCGUUGCUCGGAAUGACUGGGCGUAAAGGGUCGUGUAGGCGGUUUUGACAGUCAGAUGUGAAAUCCCCGGGCUUAACCUGGGAGCUGCAUUUGAGACGUUAAGACUAGAGUGUGAGAGAGGGUUGUGGAAUUCCCAGUGUAGAGGUGAAAUUCGUAGAUAUUGGGAAGAACACCGGUGGCGAAGGCGGCAACCUGGCUCGUUACUGACGCUGAGGCGCGAAAGCGUGGGAAGC
rnacentral:rRNA from 1 species